ACCCAGCCACUCGCCCUCCCAAAUCCUCUCGACCUCCAGCGUGCCAGCACCUCCCGCCCCGCCCCAGCGCGCCGCCACCUCCCACUCCGCCCCAUCUUAUCGAUGCGUUCGGGCAGGGCGCCGCUGCCGCCAGCCACUCGCCCUCCCAAUCCCAUCUCGAACUCCACCGCGCCUCCACUCCCGCCCCGCGCCAUCUUACCGAUGCGUUCGAGCAGGGCGCCGCCGCCGCGCGUGGCCGCGCGGCCAGUUUUCUUCUUUGUCUAUCCGUUCUGGGGGCGCUCGACAUCGCCGUGCCGCCGAUCUGCCGGCUUCGCCGGAACUCCGUUUGUCAGCAUCUUCUACACCCCUUGGUGAUGAGCGGCUGAGCCAAGGAGCGGAGUCAGGCGCCGCCGCGCGUACAUGCCGCGUUCAUGCGAGAGUGGGGACGGUCUGACAGGGGAUGCAGACUUGGUUGGGGAACAAGAGCACGCGAAGCUAGGAGCAGGGGCCGAUCGAUGGGCAGCGCGAGGACCUCCUACUGGGUUGUGAGGAAAUCAGUAUAAAAUCUUUGUUGUCGGAGUUCCCUUGGAACUGCGCAGAAGAUGGGGUGAUGGAUUCAGUGUCAAGAUUCAAUGAAGAUCCAUCUGUUCGUGGCCUGCUUGUUCACCCACUACUACCACAAGCAAUGUAUUUUAGGGUAUGUUUGGUUCUUGCCUAUAGCUACCCUGCCAAUAUUGGCUUGCCAAUUAUUUGGAGUGGGAUUCCAACGCCCAGGGUUGGCCAAAGAUUUGGCAAGAAUCUGUGAAGGAAGCAACAAUGGACUUUGUUGGCAGUCAAAUAUUUGGCAACAAACCAAACAACACAUAAGGAAUUUGGCAUGACCAAUAUUUUGGUAGGCAUAUGGAUGAGGAAAGUAUUCUGAGCGCAGAUGCUCGCCGCCGCCGCUGCUUCUGACAACGUGUGAGCCGCCUAAUCGAGCGAGGAUUCGCCGCUCAUCCUAAGAGGACUCGCCGCUCUUCCAUGACGCCGCCGCUGCAACGCGGCGUUGUUCCAGCACCAAAUCGCAGAUGCAUCUGUGCAAAUCCAACAAAGUGGUGGGAAUAUCUACAACAUGAAGUUUCUCAAGCUGAUAGGGCAUUCUUCUGCAUGUUUGUGACAUGAUCAUGGUGCACAUAUAUUUAAUAGUGAAGGUCUUCGGCUAUCACUAUGAAUGGUUCUGCUGUUGUGUUGUGUGUCAAACAUCACUUCAUGUUGUAGUGCAUUUUUCCCUUUCAAAAUCCACAUUAUGCAAUUUGGCUUUAUAAGAAGUUUCACUUUAUUAUUAGUGGAGAACGGGAGAUAAGGAAAGGGAAGGGAAAAACAGUAAUUCUAGCAACUAGCCAUUGUUCCGUGGCAAAACACAGGUGUUUGUUCUAUUAUGUUCAUCGGAAGUCUUUACGGAGGAGUUGGGUCUGGGUGAGUGACAUAUAUUUGCUUGAGGUCACGAAUUCUUUUCUGCUGUUACUUGCAUCUUACUUGAUUUUUUUUUCUUCAAGUUCUUCAUGUUUUCCCAUAUCGUCUGUUCUAUAGAAGCUGCUACCUCAAAUUAAGUAAGUGCAUCCUUCUUUUUUGUCCAAGUUUGUUCUAUUCUAUUACUCAGAAGUCUGUACAAGACUGAGAGACUGAAGCAUAUUUGCUUGAGAGUUGAAUUAUUUUUGGAUGUCAGGUUUGUACGCUAUACUGUUUGAUUAAUGAAAACUGAUAAAAGUAGUGGCAAACACUUGAUUGAGUAAGCUACUGGAUUUUACCAGUAAUACACAGUAGUUUCUUGCAAUAUUAUCUGCAUGACAAGAAACACCCAUAUUUGAUUUUGCUCUGUGAUUGGUUCAAAUAUCACUUUUUGGGCUAAAGCUGAUUGGAUACGAGUAGUAGUGUCAACAGUAAUAACUUGAAACAUGAUUUUAUCAUGGCUCUAAAUUUUAUUGCUGAUGAUUUCUUUCAGGAUAUUUGUAGAGGCUAUUCGCACCAUAGUUCAAGGCAGAUGAUAGAGUACAGGCUAGGCA